GAUGAACGCUGGCGGCGUGCCUAAUACAUGCAAGUCGAGCGAACGGACGCGAAUCUUGCUUCUCGGUUGUUAGCGGCGCACGGGUGAGUAACACGUGGAUAACCUCCCUAUAAGACUGGUAAAACUUCGGGAAACCGUAGCAUAUCCCGUAUAAUAUUCUGCACCGCAGUGGUGAAAAGUAAGAUUCGGUCUUUCUGUCACUUCUAGAUGGAUCUCCGCUGCAUUAGCUAGUGGGUACGUUAACGGCUUACCAAGGCAAGGAUGCAUAGCCGACCUGAGAGACUGGUAGGCCACCCUGGAACUGGGACACGGUCCAGACUACUAAGGUAGGCAGCAGAAGGCAAUGUUCCGCAAUGGGCGAGAGCAUGACGGAGCAACGCCGAGUGAGUGAUGGAGGUCUUCGGAUCGUAAAAAUGUGUUUCUAGUGAAGAACAUAUGUGGAAGGAACUGUAGAGAUCGUGACGGUAACUGAUCAGAAAGCCACGGCUAACUACGUG
rnacentral:rRNA from 1 species